AAGGACCUCUGGUAAGGUGACUUUUGAGCAUAGACCUGAAGAAAAUGGAGGAAUGAGCCCUGUACAUUGUCAGGGAAGAACUGCUCAGGCAGAGGAAAUACAGAUGGAAAGGGCCUGCACUGGAAAAGUGAUUGGCAUGUUAGAGGCACAGUGAGGAGGCCAACACAACUGGUGAGGAGUGAAUCAGGAGAAUAAUAGGGGAUGAAGUCACAGAAUUGGGACCCAGGUCAUAGAGAGCCCUGGAAGGCAUUUUAAGGACCUGGACUUUGAGGAAAAUGAGAAACCAUUGGCCAGUUUUGGUAUUGGGAGAAGGAGAGGCUGUCAACCCAUGCCACUAUGCUAUCUCUAACUCUGCCAUCCAGACCGAGUAAGUUUUAUUUCCACUGUAUUCUGCCGUCCAUGGCUUGCAGGAAGGGGUUCACCCCCACUCACCCUACAGGCCACUUCCAUGAAGAGCUGUGCCCAGAGGCUCCCUGGGCCCAGCACAACAAGCACAUUCACGUAUCCCCAGCCUCAAAUGAGCCUCAUUUACAGUCCAG
rnacentral:lncRNA from 1 species